UUUGACGUUCGGAUGUAACAUCCGGGGUCUUUGGAGCCGGGAAGUGUGUGCGGACGUGGCAGAAACCUGAGAACUGCAGGGACACAGGCUGAAUGUUGUACUGGUGCUUCCGGUGUUAGGCGCUAUUGGUAGUUACGGAAUAUUCAACAGGAUUGUAAUCAAACCCGUGAGCUAGUCUAAUUGGACGGGUGUGUACAGUAGGAUUGAAAUAAGCUUAGAAUUUUU